AGGGAUGACUGGUGACAGAGGGAGGGAGUGGGUGACAUAGUGACAGAGUGAGGAAGGGGGUGACACAGUGACAGUGAGGGAGGGGGUGACUGUCACUAGUCACCCCAUCCCUCCCUCUGUCACUAAUCACCACCUCCCUCAAUCUGUCACUAGUCACCCCUACCCUCCCUCACUCUGUCACUAGUCACACCCUUACUCACUUUCACUAGUCACACCCUCCCUCUCUCUGUCACUAGUCACACCCU